AUUGAACGCUGGCGGCAGGCCUAACACAUGCAAGUCGAGCGAGCGGCGGACGGGUGAGUAAUGUAUGGGGACUGCCCGCUCGAGGGGGAUAACUACUGGACACGGUGGCUAAUACCGCAUACUAUCCGAUAACCCAUAUGGGAUUAGCUAGUAGGUGGGGUAAUGGCUCACCUAGGCGACGAUCUCUAGCGGGUCUGAGAGGAUGAUCAGCAAAACGGGAACUGGGAAACGGCCCAGACUCCAACGGGGGCAGAAGGGGGGAAUAUUGCACAAUGGGCGAAGGCCUGAUGCAGCCAUGCGGCGUGUAGGAAGAAGGCCUUGGGGUUGUAAAGUACUGUCAGCGGGGAGGCGUUACCCGCAGAAGAAGCACCGGCUAACUCCGUGCCAGCAGCCGCGGUAAUAC
rnacentral:rRNA from 1 species